AAUUAUUUAUAUUGGUGCUCUGUUUGAGCUCCAGCUCCAAACUGUUCCACAAAUCCACCCCACAGAUUAUGUAAGUUUAAGGGAAUAUU